rnacentral:rRNA from 1 species
AACUCGCCUGCAUGAAGUCGGAAUUGCUAGUAAUCGCGGAUCAGCAUGCCGCGGUGAAUACGUUCCCGGGCCUUGUACACACCGCCCGUCACACCAUGGGAGUCGGUAACACCCGAAGCCGAUAGUCUAACGAAAGAGGACGUCGUCGAAGGUGGGAUUGAUGACUGGGGUGAAGUCGUAACAAGGUACC